rnacentral:rRNA from 1 species
UACGAAGGGGGCUAGCGUUGCUCGGAAUUACUGGGCGUAAAGCGCACGUAGGCGGCUUCUUAAGUCGGUGGUGAAAUCCUGGAGCUCAACUCCAGAACUGCCUUCGAUACUGGCGAUCUUGAGUCCGGAAGAGGUGAGUGGAACUCCUAGUGUAGAGGUGGAAUUCGUAGAUAUUAGGAAGAACACCGGUGGCGAAGGCGGCACUCUGGGCCGGAACUGACGCUGAGGAGCGAAAGCGUGGGGAGCGAACAGG